rnacentral:tRNA from 1 species
AAUUGAUUAGUCCAAUAAAAGACAUCUGUUUUGAAAACAGAAAAUGAUUUAUAAAAUAAUCAUCAAUUU